AUUCCUGAGGCAUCCCCAGAGCAAGCUGACGAGGUGAAGGUGUUCGAAACAUUCGGCGGGGACCUUCCGGUGGGCAUGACAUCGACAGCCGUUAUCGCAAAAGGACGCGGGUAACCGGUCUUACAAACGAACGGCACCAUGCAG
rnacentral:ncRNA from 1 species